CGCGAAUGGCUCAUUACAACAGCUAACAAAUCUACUUGAUCUUGACACAAUCCUACUUGGAUAACUGUGGUAAUUCUAGAGCUAAUACAUGCAUUAAAGCUCUGACCUUCGGGGAAGAGUGCAUUUAUUAGAACAAAACCAAGCGGCUUCGGCUGUUUUCGGUUGACUCAUAGUAACUGAGCUGAUCGCAUGGUCUUGCACCGGCGACGUGUCUUUCAAGUAUCUGCCGUAUCAACUUUCGAUGGUAGUGUAUCUGACUACCAUGGUGAUCACGCGUAACGGAGAAUAAGGGUUCGACUCCGGAGAGUUCACCUGAGAAAUCGCGAACACAUCUAAGGAAGGCAGCAGGCGCGAAAAUUACCCACUCUCAGCACGAGGAGGUAGUGACGAAAAAUAACGAGACCGUUCUCUUAUGAGGCCGGUCAUCGGAAUGGGUACAAUUUAAACCCUUUAACGAGUAUCUAUGAGAGGGCAAGUCUGGUGCCAGCAGCCGCGGUAAUUCCAGCU
rnacentral:rRNA from 1 species